AGUGAACGCUGGCGGUAGGCCUAACACAUGCAAGUCGAACGGCAGCACAGUAAGAGCUUGCUCUUACGGGUGGCGAGUGGCGGACAGGUGAGGAAUACAUCGGAAUCUACUUUUUCGUGGGGGAUAACGUAGGGAAACUUACGCUAAUACCGCAUACGACCUACGGGUGAAAGCAGGGGAUCUUCGGACCUUGCGCGAUUGAAUGAGCCGAUGUCGGAUUAGCUAGUUGGCGGGGUAAAGGCCCACCAAGGCGACGAUCCGUAGCUGGUCUGAGAGGAUGAUCAGCCACACUGGAACUGAGACACGGUCCAGACUCCUACGGGAGGCAGCAGUGGGGAAUGUUGGACAAUGGGCGCAAGCCUGAUCCAGCCAUACCGCGUGGGUGAAGAAGGCCUUCGGGUUGUAAAGCCCUUUUGUUGGGAAAGAAAAGCAGCAGGUUAAUACCCCGCUGUUCUGACGGUACCCAAAGAAUAAGCACCGGCUAACUUCGUG
rnacentral:rRNA from 1 species